rnacentral:rRNA from 1 species
ACGGGGUGCAGCAGGCGCGAAAACUUCGCACUGCGCGAAAGCGCGACGAGGGAAUCCCAAGUGUAUGCACGUAAGUGUAUACUGUUUCUCUGUCUAAAAAGCAGAGAGAGUAAGAGCUGGGUAAGACGGGUGCCAGCCGCCGCGGUAAUACCUGCAGCUCGAGUGGUGAUCGUUAUUAUUGGGCCUAAAACGUCCGUAGCCGGUCUUGUAAAUGCCUGGGUAAAUCGUAUGGCUUAACCAUACGAAUUCCGGGUAGACUGUUAGACUUGAGACCGGGAGAAGCUAGAGGUACUCCUGGGGUAGAGGUGAAAUUCUGUAAUCCUAGGGGGACCACCAGUGGCGAAGGCGUCUAGCUAGAACGGGUCUGACGGUGAGGGACGAAGCCCUGGGGCGCAAACGGGAUUAGAUACCCCGGUAGUCCAGGGUGUAAACGCUGCUUGCUUGAUGUUAGUCUGGCUCCGAGCCAGAUUAGUGUCGGAGAGAAGUUGUUAAGCAAGCUGCCUGGGAAGUACGGCCGCAAGACUGAAACUUAAAGGAAUUGGCGGGGGAGCAC